GAUGAACGCUGGCGGCGUGCCUAAUACAUGCAAGUCGAGCGAACGGACGAGAAGCUUGCUUCUCUGAUGUUAGCGGCGGACGGGUGAGUAACACGUGGAUAACCUACCUAUAAGACUGGGAUAACUUCGGGAAACCUUAGCUAAUACCGGAUAAAAUUUUGAACCACAUGGUUCAAAAGUGAAAGACGGUCUUGCUGUCACUAAUAGAUGGAUCCGCGCUGCAUAAGCUAGUUGGUAAGGUAACGGCUUACCAAGGCAACGAUGAAUAGCCGACCUGAGAGGGUGAUCGGCAACACUGGAACUGAGACACGGUCCAGACUCCUACGGGAGGCAGCAGUAGGGAAUCUUCCGCAAUGGGCGAAAGCCUGACGGAGCAACGCCGCGUGAGUGAUGAAGGUCUUCGGAUCGUAAAACUCUGUUAUUAGGGAAGAACAUAUGUGUAAGUAACUGUGCACAUCUUGACGGUACCUAAUCAGAAAGCCACGGCUAACUACGUG
rnacentral:rRNA from 1 species